UGCUCAUGGGUCAAAGUAGGGAUGAUGGCAAGUGAAAGGAUUCAAUCCUCUUUUGUAGAUAAGGCUUAAGUUAAGUCUUGGAAUCUCUACUCCAUCAGAAAACAUUUCUCCAUCCAUGAGCAGGCAAGAAUCUAAAAUUAUCCGAUGGAAUUCAAGCUUGUUCACGUGUAGUGUAGGAAUACAAAUCUGAAUAUAGGAUUCAAAUGGAAAAAUUUUCAAAUGCAAAAUAAGCAGGCAAGAAUCUGAAAUCUUAUAAGACAAUGCAGGGGACUGAGCCCCACAAGAAGCCAAGAAGAAAUGAAAAUUACUCAUUCUUGGGGAAGGAGGAGAUUGCUGUGUGAUGAGAUUUGACAUAAAGUCUGACGAACCAUAGGGCAUGUUGCGGAAAACAUUCCUCCCUGAACCAGAAUGUUGUUUAGAACGUAAAAGAUAUCCCCAAGAGUGGGUUCCAUAGCCAGGGGAGAGGGCAGAAGUAUCCUCUUUUAAUUUUAAGGCCUUGAACAUCUUUGAAGUUGGAGCAACUGUGUUGAUUUACAUCAAGAGACAAUACAAUGUGUCUGCUCAAGUGUUAUUACGCACCACUGAGGUAAACCUUCAAAAAAAAAAGAAUUAAAGUGCAUGGCAAGAAUUUAGGUGGUUGACUGUUGUUCACUCUUACAUGAGAAGAUGUUUCACCACAAAGAUCCUCCAAAAACACAUCAAAAAAAAAAAGAAAAAAUCCAGAAUGAGCCUCUCUAAGAGUUAAUCUCAGCAAGGAGUGGAGAUUGCUGCUGACCACUUCAUGAACACAUCAGGGCAAAGAAUGAGGAGAAGAUUAAUUUCAUUGAGUUAUAUUGGUGAAAUGAAAUCAAAAAAUCUCAAAAUGAGGCGGAUCUAUUUCUGCCCCAUUGCUCUACAGCUCCACCAUUGCAAACUUGGUAUCUAACGUCAGAAUAACCACCAGCGUGGGGUGAGACUGCCAUAUCCCUCAACAGUUUGUCCUGAAUCUGGUAUUCUCAGCUGUGAGCCACUGAGGCCAGGUGACACUUACAAAAACCAGGGUCGCUGUCCUUCAAUGACUCACCCAGAUGC